CAGCCGCCGCGGGAAUACGUAGGUGGCAAGCGUUGUCCGGAAUUAUUGGGCGUAAAGCGCGCGCAGGUGGUUUAAUAAGUCUGAUGUGAAAGCCCACGGCUCAACCGUGGAGGGUCAUUGGAAACUGUUAAACUUGAGUGCAGGAGAGAAAAGUGGAAUUCCUAGUGUAGCGGUGAAAUGCGUAGAGAUUAGGAGGAACACCAGUGGCGAAGGCGGCUUUUUGGCCUGUAACUGACACUGAGGCGCGAAAGCGUGGGGAGCAAACAGGAUUAGAGACCCGAGUAGUCCCUGUCUCUUAUAC
rnacentral:rRNA from 1 species